rnacentral:rRNA from 1 species
GAUGAACGCUGGCGGCGUGCCUAAUACAUGCAAGUCGAGCGGUAAGGCUUUCACUCUGUAUUUAAUGAGUUGAAUAUAGUGUGAAAGUACACGAGCGGCGGACGGCUGAGUAACGCGUAGGAACGUACCCCAAAGUGAGGGAUAAGCACCGGAAACGGUGUCUAAUACCGCAUGUGAUCUUCGGAUUAAAGCUUUAUGCGCUUUGGGAGCGGCCUGCGUAAGAUUAGUUUGUUGGUGAGGUAAUGGCUCACCAAGACUACGAUCUUUAGCUGGUCUGAGAGGAUGAUCAGCCAGACUGGGACUGAGACACGGCCCAGACUCCUACGGGAGGCAGCAGUAGGGAAUUUUCCACAAUGGACGAAAGUCUGAUGGAGCAACGCCGCGUGCAGGAUGAAGGCCUUCGGGUUGUAAACUGCUUUAUCUGUGACGAUUAUGACGGUAGCAGAUGAAUAAGGAUCGGCUAACUCCGUGCCAGCAGCCGCGGU